CCGAGACUCACAUAAUGCCAGUGUUCCUGAACAUCCAGAGCAGGACAUCCCACGUUUCUGUACAUACUUAUGUAGUCUAGAGGAUCUGGGCCCCCUAACCUGUGUUUACAUAAUGAAAGGGCUUGUUUACCUGGUGCUUGGAUACAAGAGACAUGCUUGGACAUUCUGCCUACAGACACAUGAAACACAAGUUCUUUGGAAACAUAACAUGGAAAUGGCAAAUCCUGCUUCAUGUCCAGACUGUCAGAUCUGCCUGGGAGAGUAUGUCCACCUUUUAUAUCCCAUCUACUGUUCUCCACAACAUACAAGCUUUCAGAACCAAACUAUCCAGCCAGAGAUCCACCACUACUAUCAUUCUCUGCCUUUUCUUCUAGCUACGCCUUGGGACUGGUAUUACCACCAUCUAUAUACACAACCCCUUUCGGACCCUCUGGUAAACCCUUCAC